rnacentral:lncRNA from 1 species
AAAAUAUGCUUUCAAAUCGUACGCAUGACGUAGAAGACAUGCAUGAAGUAGAUGUCUUGCAACUUUUAUAGAGGUGCAUUUCGUAGUCAGUAAGCUCCAUUUCCUACAUUCAAAUUCUCCAAAUAAUUGUUGCUAUCCACUCCGAAAAAUUGCCAAUCAGUCAGCCUGCAAAAUGUUGGUUGAGAUCAUGCUCAUAAAAGUAAAAACAAUUGUCCUACUAUCUUUGAGCCAUGAUAAAAAAAUAUAAAAAAAAAUGCAAAAUAAAAUAAAAAUAAAACUCACUCCACUUAUUCAAACGUGACCAACUACACAAUCCACAUUAUUCAAGCAC